rnacentral:lncRNA from 1 species
AUGCGCUCCCUCUGCCUUUCUCCUUUCCUGAUGCUGAGACACGAUCAGCGCUGUCCUCCCAACAGAACCUGUCCCUCUCUCCUGGUGUCACCCCCGACAGAACCUGUCCCUCUCUCCUGGUGUCACCCCCGACAGAACUUGUCCCUCUCUCCUGGUGUCACCCCCAACAGAACCUGUCCCUCCUCCUGGUGUCACCCCCAACAGAACCUGUCCCUCUCUUCUGGUGUCACCCUCAACAGAACCUGUCCCUCCUCCUGGUGUCACCCCCAACAGAACCUGUCCCUCUCUUCUGGUGUCACCCCCGACAGAACCUGUCCCUCUCUCCUGGUAUCACGCACUGACAGAACAGAACCUGUCGCUUCUCCUCGUGUCACCCACCGACAGAACUUGUCCCUCUCUCCUGGUGUCACCCCCGACAGAACCUGUCCCUCUCUCCUGGUGUCACCCCCGACAGAACCUGUCCCUCUCCUGGUUUGCAGGCUGUGCAGUUUCUGUUAUUCACAAAUACACAUUUAUUUUCUGUUGAACCGUGGUUAGUAGAAGCUAAUUGGCAGUGCAUAAAAACAUGCAGAAGAGAACACACACCUGCCUGAAUUCACAAUAUUCAGAAACUGACUGAGGAAGAUGCACGGGUCUGUUACGUGCAGUGGGGCUGCUGUCCAAACAAUGUUCUGUGUUUGGAGGCGGCACACAGAUGCAAUUACAGAGUCCACAGACAAACUGUAACUGACAAUGGUGACCACUAUGCCCUCGUGACUUAAUUUUUGCUACCCCUCCUGGCUAGGUGACAGAGACGGGAGCAGAGUGGGUGUUUUCAAAGAUUCCCUUUGGAGCCGAGUGGAGAAGGGGGCUCUCCUGGCUCCUGCAUGUCUGAGGAAAGCCUGGGGGCUGUUGAGGGAGGGCGGGAUGCAGGGGAGGCCGUGCCUCUGACUCGUGGGCACCAACCCUGGAAGUGUGGAGGGAGAGCAGGGGUGUGGGGCCUCUCCCUCCAGGAGCCCACAGUGCUCCAGGCUAGGACAGGCUGGGUGCCACAGCAGCCUCAAUCUCAUUUACAAAGCCCACAGGGGUGUUCUAGGGUUCGGAAUGCAUGCCACAACUUUUCCUCAGAGCGAAGGGUCCACUUCUGCGAAGGAGCUCACCUCCAGGGGCCAAGAUGGGAGCCAUGAGCCCCGCCGCUCCGGUCAUUCCAGCCAGGUCUGGGAAGGGCUGUGGUGAGUUGGUGCUGGCCGCGUGGACGAAGUGCCCCGUCGGUGACAGGGCCUGUUCCCUGCGCGGUCGGGUGGUGCCCAGGCCGGGUGGAGACGCUUCUCGUGCUCAGGGCCGGUUUCUGGUGUGCUCCCAAUGCGCUUGGCUCUUGAGGCCAUUCUUGUCUGAGGCCAACCAGUGACCAGGAGGCAGGGUCCUGGUGCCCCCUCCUCAGCGUCCCUCGUCCCCACAGACAGCAGCAAGGCCUGGCGAGCCUCUGUGCUACGCCGUGUGGGGACCCGCGGACCCCAACCCGCCUGUCCCUCCGUCCUGACCCUGCGCCAGGCUCAGC